GCGCCGGUAGUGUAGUGGGCUUUAGAGCAUUCCCGCGCGGUCAGCAGGAGGUGCGGGUUCAAGUCCCGCCAGGCGCU
rnacentral:tRNA from 1 species